GAUGAACGCUGGCGGCGUGCCUAAUACAUGCAAGUCGAGCGAACAGACGAGGAGCUUGCUCCUCUGACGUUAGCGGCGGACGGGUGAGUAACACGUGGAUAACCUACCUAUAAGACUGGGAUAACUUCGGGAAACCGGAGCUAAUACCGGAUAAUAUAUUGAACCGCAUGGUUCAAUAGUGAAAGACGGUUUUGCUGUCACUUAUAGAUGGAUCCGCGCCGCAUUAGCUAGUUGGUAAGGUAACGGCUUACCAAGGCGACGAUGCGUAGCCGACCUGAGAGGGUGAUCGGCCACACUGGAACUGAGACACGGUCCAGACUCCUACGGGAGGCAGAAGUAGGGAAUCUUCCGCAAUGGGCGAAAGCCUGACGGAGCAACGCCGCGUGAGUGAUGAAGGUCUUCGGAUCGUAAAACUCUGUUAUUAGGGAAGAACAAAUGUGUAAGUAACUAUGCACGUCUUGACGGGACCUAAUCAGAAAGCCACGGCGAACUACGU
rnacentral:rRNA from 1 species